rnacentral:rRNA from 1 species
GAUGAACGCUGGCGGCGUGCCUAACACAUGCAAGUCGAACGGAGUUUAUGUAGGAAGUUUUCGGAUGGAAUGUAUAAACUUAGUGGCGGACGGGUGAGUAACGCGUAAGUAAUCAACCUAAAACACACGGAUAACUAAGAGAAAUUUUAGCUAAUACGAGAUGAACUUUGAUAGUAGGGAUAUUAUCAAAGCAAAGCUGAGGCGGUUUUAGACGAGCUUGCGUCUGAUUAGCUAGUUGGUAAGGUAAGAGCUUACCAAGGCGACGAUCAGUAGCCGGCCUGAGAGGGUGAACGGCCACAUUGGGACUGAGACACGGCCCAAACUCCUACGGGAGGCAGCAGUGGGGGAUAUUGCACAAUGGGGGGAACCCUGAUGCAGCAACGCCGCGUGAGUGAAGAAGGCUUUCGAGUCGUAAAGCUCUGUCGUAUGAGAAGAAUAAAUGACUGUAUCAUACAAGAAAGCCCCGGCUAACUACGUGCCAGCAGCCGCGGUAAUACGUAGGGGGCAAGCGUUAUCCGGAAUUACUGGGCGUAAAGGGUGCGUAGGCGGCUUAGUAAGUCAAGAUUUAAAGGCAGCAGCUCAACUGCUGUUCGGUCUUGAAACUAUUGAGCUUGAGUAUAGGAGAGGAAAGUGGAAUUCCCAGUGUAGCGGUGAAAUGCGUAGAUAUUGGGAGGAAUACCGGUGGCGAAGGCGACUUUCUGGACUAUAACUGACGCUGAGGCACGAAAGCGUGGGUAGCAAACAGG